rnacentral:lncRNA from 1 species
AUGAAAAACAGGAAGCCAAGCUGCAAGGGCUCGUUUGGAACUGGCAAACUGCAACAGAAGCUUCAGCCAGCACAUCCGCCGAGGGUAGCCAUUCCCCACACCACUUCCGUUCAGGUCUGGUUCCCAGCCGAGGCUGCGAUUGGUCUGCUCUGUCUCCUGCGGUGGUGGGGUGACCUUCCUCAACAGAUCCCAAGACCAAGUUCAGUGCAUUUACUGUGUGCUCCACGUGGCAAAUGCUGGAAGCCAGCAGCCUCUGACCAUUCUCCCACUGCUGCGGGCCGCAGAGCCAGGGCUCCAUUCGAAGCCUGCCAACAGCAUUUAUUUUGGAGACUUUGUUGGCAGUUUAGAUUUGGGUCAGAAGUGGCUUCAAGAAGCCUAAUUGAUGUUAGCUGUCUGAAUUGAAGACUAAAGCCCUGAAGGCUGAUGGGAUGGUGACUCUGUGACCUUUCAUUAGGAAUCUGACCAACUCUGUACAUUUCAACUGCUUGCUUCCAUGUGGUGGAUGUGAUCUUGCUUCCCAAGGCUCAAACCAUGCACAGGCUUCCUCCAUGCUGACAAAGGAUGCAGGCAACAGUGUCAGUGGACUUCAGUGACAGUCAGCAAGUGCACCCGCAUGCUCCACACUGAGAAGCUGCUGUCAGAUGCUGAGGACAUGGCUCAUCCCCGUGGGGAACUCAGUCUUUUGGCUUAUGCUUCCAUCAGCCAUUCAAAGCACCAAGAGUUUGGAAGCAGCAUGAGCUUGGUUUCUGUGCCUGGCAGUGACCUCCAGACCUCAAGAGGUGGACAUAGGAGAAAGAAGGAGGCGAGCCUCCAAGGCACACCCAGGGUCACACCUACACGAUAUAUGUUGGAAUAAAUGUGUUCAAAGAGAGGGGAAGUAUUGUGAGGGGGAUUAAUGGCCAUGUGUCUUUUACUGUAAUUAAUUAAAAAAAAUUUAAACAUUCACUGUAUAUUUUGAUCAGCCCUUGUGUCUUUCUCAUUCUCUGUCUAGAAAUUAGGACUUGCCAUCUCAAAAGUAGGAAUGUGUUAUGAGGAAGC